GGCGCGAUGGCGGAGUGGUUACGCAGCGGCCUGCAAAGCCGUGUACGCCGGUUCGAUUCCGGCUCGCGCCUCCA
rnacentral:tRNA from 1 species